AUUCUACUCCCUCCGUCCGGAAUUACUUGUCACAAAAAUGAUAGAAAUGGAUGUAUCUAGAACUAAAAUACAUCUAGAUACAUCCAUUCCUCGGACAAGUAUUUUCGGACGGAUGGAGUAUUAG
rnacentral:pre_miRNA from 1 species